rnacentral:lncRNA from 1 species
CCCUUGCAGGUAAAAUUUUAUGCUCUUGUGCAUAUCUGUAGGAUUGUUCCCUAUCUCACACUAGAUGAAGAGUUAAUAGACUCUACAAAAGAGUCUCCUUUACACAGAAAGAGUUGCUGCUGUCUAUCAGAAAGACAAGAAAGAAUCCAAGUUUUGGGAAGUCAGUUCCAGAAGAAAAUUUCUAUGAUCCUCAGAAAUCCAGUCUGCUAUACUGAUAUGUGUGACCAAUAUGGAGCUUCAGGUAUUGUGAACACAGACUGUCUACAAGUCCCAUUAUUCCUGUAGAAUACAACAUUGAGGCCCCUCUAGAAAGAACCUCAGCCACCUUCUUUAUUGAUUACAUUACAUUAUGGCAAGGGCAAGGCAAGUCAGGUGUGUGG